GCUGUGGUCCGCAGCGCGCUCCCGCGGGUCUGGUCCGACGCGAUGUUGCUGCGUAGGGCGGUCGCCAAGCCCCUGGCGCUGCAGCUGAGAGCGCCCGGCCCCGCGCCGCUCGGCAAGGACGGGCCUCUUCAUUGGAUGUCAACUAACAAAGUCUCCGGGCCAUCUGGGUCUAAUAUGAUCUACUACCUGCUGGUAGGAGUCACCGUCAGCACUGGCGGAUAUUAUACUUACAAGGCAGUCACAUCAGAGCAAGCCAAGCACACGCAGCACGUAACACAUUUUAAAGAAAAGACAAAAGCAGCAUUACAGCCGCUUCAAGGUGAAAAAGAGAGCGUCGCAGACGCCGAGAAAGCCAGCCCGGAAGCCCUGGGAGUCCUUGGCGUGGAAGCUGAGGUGGUGCCUGCUGCAGAAUUCCCCGGUGCAGCAGCAGGGGCCACGGAAGAGGCCUGGGCCCCACCUGACAGAGAGGAGGCCGCUGCGGUGGACACCUUGGCGCUGAGUGCUGAGACUGGGCCGGGGGCUGCAGACGGGAGAGACCGUGGAGUUCGACCCUGAAAUGACCCGGGGGCUCACGGAUGCAGGCCCGGAGGAAGCUGUGGGUGUCAGUAACCAGCCAGGUGCCAGGCAGAGCCAGAGCUCCAAGAAACGCGCUGGGCUAGGAGAUUCUGCUGGGGAACCCGAACCCCUGCUGGGCCAGAUGCACAGCAGGAAGCUGAUGGUGCUUCUGGUUCAGAGGCCGCCUGGGCUCAACGCUGAUCUCCAGCAGGUACCGGGAUUGAAUUCAGGACCUUGCGGUUGUGAGGCAGGCAGCGGAACCACUGAGCUACGUCUCUGGCCCAGUCUCACUAAAUUGCCCAGGCUGACCUCCAACUUUCGACCCUCCUACUUCAGCCUCCUGAGUCACUGAGAUUACAGACAUGCGUCAUGGAGCCAGGCUUACACUAAUAUUUAUGUGUACUGUACGUACUGUAAUUACAUUAGCAUGCAUAUAGCAUCACAUGAAGAAAUUAAGCUUUGGUAAUGCUAUUGAAGAAAGGACACAUCUGUGGAGAAUUCUGUGUAUAACAUUCUAUACAUCCUUUUCCCAUUUAUAUUACCCAAGGGGCUGUACAGCUAUUUUCUGGUUCAGUUCAAACAACAUUUAUGGAGGAUUUUACAUCUUGAUGCAUUCAUUCCACAAAUUUUAACCGAGUCCCUACAGGCACUGUUUGAAGCACUCUUCAGCUUCUAGAGCUGCAUUAGAUAAUAAACAAGAUAAAUAAGAAAACUGUAUCAAAUGUUAGGUACAAAUAGUGCUAAGGAUAAAAGUGAUGGAAAUAAAUGGGUUCUGAG